rnacentral:rRNA from 1 species
UACCAUGCAGUCGAGCGGAACGAUGGUAGCUUGCUACCAGGCGUCGAGCGGCGGACGGGUGAGUAAUACUUAGGAAUCUACCUAGUAGUGGGGGAUAGCUCGGGGAAACUCGAAUUAAUACCGCAUACGACCUACGGGAGAAAGGGGGCAGUUUACUGCUCUCGCUAUUAGAUGAGCCUAAGUCGGAUUAGCUAGAUGGUGGGGUAAAGGCCUACCAUGGCGACGAUCUGUAGCUGGUCUGAGAGGAUGAUCAGCCACACCGGGACUGAGACACGGCCCGGACUCCUACAGGAGGCAGCAGUGGGGAAUAUUGGACAAUGGGGGAAACCCUGAUCCAGCCAUGCCGCGUGUGUGAAGAAGGCCUUUUGGUUGUAAAGCACUUUAAGCAGUGAAGAAGACUCCGUGGUUAAUACCCACGGACGAUGACAUUAGCUGCAGAAUAAGCACCGGCUAACUCUGUGCCAGCAGCCGCGGUAA